rnacentral:tRNA from 4 species
GGGGUCGUGGGGUAACCUGGCAUCCUUCCGGCUUGGGGUGCCGGCGAUCUGUGUUCAAAUCACAGCGACCCCA